rnacentral:rRNA from 1 species
GACGAACGCUGGCGGCGUGCCUAAUACAUGCAAGUCGAGCGCAGGAAACUGACGGAACUCUUCGGAGGGAAGGCAGUGGAAUGAGCGGCGGACGGGUGAGUAGCACGUAAGGAACCUGCCUCAAGGAUUGGGAUAACUCCGAGAAAUCGGAGCUAAUACCGGAUAGUUCAACGGACCGCAUGGUCCGCUGAUGAAAGGCGCUCCGGCGUCACCUUGAGAUGGCCUUGCGGUGCAUUAGCUAGUUGGUGGGGUAACGGCCCACCAAGGCGACGAGGCAUAGCCGACCUGAGAGGGUGAUCGGCCGCACUGGGACUGAGACACGGCCCAGACUCCUACGGGAGGCAGCAGUAGGGAAUCUUCCACAAUGGACGAAAGUCUGAUGGAGCAACGCCGCGUGAGUGAUGAAGGUUUUCGGAUCGUAAAACUCUGUUGUAAGGGAAGAACACGUACGAGAGGAAAUGCUCGUACCUUGACGGUACCUUACGAGAAAGCCACGGCUAACUACGUGCCAGCAGCCGCCGUAACAC